AUGGGCUUGGACCUUAACUUACCACAGGACCGCAAUGAUCUGGAUUACAAGGCCAAGAUGGAGGAGACCCGCAUGGAAGGAAAUACAAUGCAAGACCAUGCUAAUACACGCCUGAAGGAAGGCCAAGAUGGAGGAGAUCCGCAUGAAGGGGGUAUGAUGCAAGAUCAUGCUAGUUAUCCCUACACCAGAGCAAUCUGUCUCAUCAGUACCUCUACAGGUAGAACAAGAGAUCCGUACACCAGAGCAAUCUGUCUCAUCCUACGUAAGUAUGUUUUACAAACGGUAUGCACAUCCUACGUAUGGACACUUUAA
rnacentral:rRNA from 1 species